rnacentral:rRNA from 1 species
UACGUAGGGUGCAAGCGUUAAUCGGAAUUACUGGGCGUAAAGCGUGCGCAGGCGGUUCGUUAAGUCAGCUGUGAAAGCCCCGGGCUCAACCUGGGAACUGCGGUUGAAACUGGCGAACUAGAAUCUGGCAGAGGGGGUGGAAUUCCACGUGUAGCAGUGAAAUGCGUAGAGAUGUGGAGGAACACCGAUGGCGAAGGCAGCCCCUGGCUAAGAUUGACGCUCAGGCACGAAGCGUGGGAGAACAGG